GAUGAACGCUGGCGGCGUGCCUAAUACAUGCAAGUCGAGCGGACGGACGAGAAGCUUGCUUUUCUGAUGUUAGCGGCGGACGGGUGAGUAACACGUGUAUAACCUACCUAUAAGACUGGUAUAACUUCGGGACACCGGAGCUAAUCCCGGAGAAUCUUUUGAACCGCAUUGUUCAAAAGUGAAAGUCGGUCUUGCCGGCGGUUGUGGAUGGAUCCGAGCUGCAUUAGCUAGUUGGUGGGGUAGCGGCGUACCAAGGCUACGAUGGGUAGCCGGGAUGAGAGGGUGACCGGCCACAUUGGGACUGAGAUACGGCCCAGACUCGUACGGGAGGCAGGAGUGGGGAAUAUUGCACAAUGGGCGGAAGCCUGAUGCAGCAACGCCGCGUGAGGGAUGACGGCCUUCGGGUUGUAAACCGCUUUCGCCUGUGAAGAAGCGUGAGUGACGGUAAUGGGUAAAGAAGCACCGGCUAACUACGUG
rnacentral:rRNA from 1 species